rnacentral:rRNA from 1 species
AUUGAACGCUGGCGGAAUGCUUUACACAUGCAAGUCGAACGGCAGCACGGGGGCAACCCUGGUGGCGAGUGGCGAACGGGUGAGUAAUACAUCGGAACGUGCCCGGGCGAGGGGGAUAACGUAGCGAAAGUUACGCUAAUACCGCAUACGAUCUGAGGAUGAAAGCGGGGGACCUUCGGGCCUCGAGCGAUCGGAGCGGCCGAUGUCAGAUUAGGUAGUUGGUGGGUGAAAGGCCUACCAAGCCGAGUAUCUGUAGCUGGUCUGAGAGGAGGACCAGCCACACUGGGACUGAGACACGGCCCAGACUCCUACGGGGGGCAGCAGUGGGGAAUUUUGGACAAUGGGCGCAAGCCUGAUCCAGCCAUUCCGCGUGCAGGACGAAGGCCUUCGGGUUGUAAACUGCUUUUGUAUGGAACGAAAAGUCUCUGGCUAAUACCUGCGGAUCAUGACGGUACCGUAAGAAUAAGCACCGGCUAACUACGUG